AAUUGCUCGUUGAUACUCGACAUAGGCGAAUAACUAAAUAUUUUUAAAUGGUUUAUCGUUUCUGCAGAAACGAUCGUGGAAUUUUGUUAAUAAAAAUUUUUCAACAACAGAAAGAUUUGUAUAAUCUAUCGAUUAAAUAUAAAUAUUAUUGUCAAGAAUGUAAAAAAAUUUGGCUGACUAGACUCAACUUUAUACGCAAUCAAAAGUUCAUAUACGAAAUUUACGAAAACAAAGCUUCCUUUAUGAGGAAGCAAAAGAAGAUACGAGCCUAUCUCUUUUUACUUGCAUCUUUCCUAAUUUGUAUUUAAAUCUGAUGAUUCCUCGCGGAAUGUUUAUAUUCAUUACAUUUUAUGUCUAGUUUUGCGUUACAAUGUCUUUCAAGAUGCGAUCCUGUUUUUUUUUCAACCACGUUUUUUAGCGUAUUAAGAUUAAUACUUCUUGUGCAUAACUAUGUAAAUGUUGUAAUUAAUUAUCUCCAUAUAUAACUUGUUAUUUCUCGAUUGUUGAAUUUCAUUAAUAACCAGUUAUUCAUAACAAAAAGGCUUGAGCGAAAAAAUAUAAAUAUCGGGUCUACGACAGGCAACUUGUAGAGUUAGUUUGCUGGGACCAUAGGAAACAAAUCUGUGAGUCAAGAAAAAAGUUGUAACAACUGAAAAUUAAUAGAAGCUAAAAAGUAAGAAAGAAAAUUCUGACGAAAAGCUCAAAAAGUGAGAUAUCUAAUUGUAAAAAGGAAUUAAGAACAUUAUAUAUCUUUUAGAAGAAAAGAAGAUUGAAAAGAAUGAGAAAAAUAAGAUAUUAAAAGAUAUUUGAGAAAUUCGAUUUCUCGAACCUCUUAUUAUUUCCUGGAACUUGUAAUAUUGCAGAAAAAUGAAAUUCCUCAUAAAGAUAUUGCUGGCAAUUGUAAUAUUGGCGGUUGUAAUUCCACCUGAAACUUGUCAAAGAUGGCGAAAACCCGGGCAUGGUUAUAGUCAUAGUAUUAUAACUGCUCCGCGUAGAAGUUAUAGCUCGCCUUGCCCGAGUGGCCAACGAAGAGAUAGGAACAAUAAAUGUCGCCAAGUCGCUUAAUGUACAGAGAUGUAAGCUGCGGUUUCUAUCGUGUUCGAAUAUGAUCGUGAGAUUCCGCUAAUAACCAGUUUCUUCCACUAUGCCUACCCAAUCGAAGAGAUAUAAAUAACAGAUUCGCAAGAGACAGACUGCAGAGUUUGUUUACUUACUGGAACCAAACGAGCGAAAUAGUAAAAAAAAAACUUGAUAAAAAUUCGAUAAAAUUAAAAAAGAUAAAUAGAGAGAAUUAUUUGAAGAUGAAAUUGCUCGUGAACAUUUUACUGAUAAUCGUGAUAAUAACGGCUAUUGUGAUUUCAUCCGGCACUUGUCAAGAAGAAACAUCGACAAAUAAAACACCGAUGAAUGAAACAUUGUUAGAAGAAACGGAUGACGACAACUUCCGAGACGUAGUUCUACAGAGUUUUAUAGUUGUUCCAGAUAGAAAUAUUAAUGAUUGUUUGGAGGGUCAGAGGAAAGAUCAGCAUGGGAAAUGUCGCGAUGUCAUUUAACACAGGUCAGCUCCAGUGCCAUUAAAGUCGGCAAAGACGGGCGAAGAUGGAAAAAGCAGAAGGGAAGCAUUUUAAAGGAGCGUCUAGAGAAAGAGUGGAAUUAAAUAAAUAAAAUUCUUUUACAGUGUAUGUUACUCUA